AGCCAGUUGUAUCGAAUGAGGCGAAGGUCUGUUUCCAAUUUUUCACAUGGUGUAAAUAUUUGCAUACUCAUCACAUGUAUCAAUCCCAUCAAUGCAAGAAUGGAAUGUGUAAGAACAGAGGAGUUUUUUCAAAAGGAUUAACUAAGGACCUUGCAUCGCUACAUACAAACUAAAGAUGGCACUUCCGGUCAGUGUUUUUAAGGCGUCUCUUAGGCGGCCAGGCGCUUGAAGAAUCAUGGUCGCCUAGGCGUCCACGUGGCGGUCCAACGCCUUGCCUCACCUUACCGCCUUAAGAACACUGCUUCCAGUAUUGCCUUCAAGCACGAUCACAAACAAUUUGGCAUGAACCAGUCUAGCACCUAUGUUGCCACAGGAGCAGCUGGCCAACCUCUGAAUUGCAUGAAUGAAGACAGCUCUGAAAACUAAAUAACAGGCCACGCUUUGCAUACCAUUACCAGAGGAUCAGAUACGGUAACAAGGAAGCAUUGUGUUGGGCACACUUAAGUGUGCGUCUCAGAUUAUAAGCUGGCUACUCAGCAGUGUGGAGUGGCAACUGGCAACUGGCAACCAUAAUGACAAAAAUGGAAGGCUCAACUGGCAGUGUCCAAAUCAUGUCUAGGCGUUUGGUCCAGCCAGAGUCAGGAAGCUCACUGGACAUGGUGCCAUCAGAGCUAGAGAUUGUUCACCUGACUGCAUGGGAUCUCGCUCUGUUCACAGUGGGCCACAUCCAGAAGGGGAUCCUCUUGCCCAAGGCUGGGACAGGAGGUGCACAACUCGUCGAUGACCUUGCUUCGUCCUUCGCCAGUGUGCUGGGCCAUUUUUAUCCACUGGCUGGCUGUCUCACUGCCUCAGAGAUCACAAAUGGUGUAGUAAGUCCAAGCCUUGCCAUCACUCUAUGCUGCAAUGACAAAUGCACCAAAUUCAUUCAUGCCAUGGCCCCUGAGGUCACUAUCAGUCGUGUUGUCCUUCCUGCUGAACAGGCUGCUGAAUGUGGAAGCACGCAUGGGCUCCAUCCCUGUGCUGGCCACGUAGGUCAGCGAGCUCGCAGAUGUCAUCUUCACUUCCAUGCUGUUGCUGCUCAACUAUGGCCAUAUGGAGCUGCAUUCUGGCUCUUCUUAAA